GAUGAACGCUGGCGGCGUGCCUAAUACAUGCAAGUCGAGCGAACGGACGAGAAGCUUGCUUCUCUGAUGUUAGCGGCGGACGGGUGAGUAACACGUGGAUAACCUACCUAUAAGACUGGGAUAACUUCGGGAAACCGGAGCUAAUACCGGAUAAUAUUUUGAACCGCAUGGUUCAAAAGUGAAAGACGGUCUUGCUGUCACUUAUAGAUGGAUCCGCGCUGCAUUAGCUAGUUGGUAAGGUAACGGCUUACCAAGGCAACGAUGCAUAGCCGACCUGAGAGGGUGAUCGGCCACACUGGAACUGAGACACGGUCCAGACUCCUACGGGAGGCAGCAGUAGGGAAUCUUCCGCAAUGGGCGAAAGCCUGACGGAGCAACGCCGCGUGAGUGAUGAAGGUCUUCGGAUCGUAAAACUCUGUUAUUAGGGAAGAACAUAUGUGUAAGUAACUGUGCACAUCUUGACGGUACCUAAUCAGAAAGCCACGGCUAACUACGUGCCAGCAGCCGCGGUAAUACGUAGGUGGCAAGCGUUAUCCGGAAUUAUUGGGCGUAAAGCGCGCGUAGGCGGUUUUUUAAGUCUGAUGUGAAAGCCCACGGCUCAACCGUGGAGGGUCAUUGGAAACUGGAAAACUUGAGUGCAGAAGAGGAAAGUGGAAUUCCAUGUGUAGCGGUGAAAUGCGCAGAGAUAUGGAGGAACACCAGUGGCGAAGGCGACUUUCUGGUCUGUAACUGACGCUGAUGUGCGAAAGCGUGGGGAUCAAACAGGAUUGGAUACCCUGGUAGUCCACGCCGUAAACGAUGAGUGCUAAGUGUUAGGGGGUUUCCGCCCCUUAGUGCUGCAGCUAACGCAUUAAGCACUCCGCCUGGGGAGUACGACCGCAAGGUUGAAACUCAAAGGAAUUGACGGGGACCCGCACAAGCGGUGGAGCAUGUGGUUUAAUUCGAAGCAACGCGAAGAACCUUACCAAAUCUUGACAUCCUUUGACAACUCUAGAGAUAGAGCCUUCCCCUUCGGGGGACAAAGUGACAGGUGGUGCAUGGUUGUCGUCAGCUCGUGUCGUGAGAUGUUGGGUUAAGUCCCGCAACGAGCGCAACCCUUAAGCUUAGUUGCCAUCAUUAAGUUGGGCACUCUAAGUUGACUGCCGGUGACAAACCGGAGGGAGGUGGGGAUGACGUCAAAUCAUCAUGCCCCUUAUGAUUUGGGCUACACACGUGCUACAAUGGACAAUACAAAGGGCAGCGAAACCGCGAGGUCAAGCAAAUCCCAUAAAGUUGUUCUCAGUUCGGAUUGUAGUCUGCAACUCGACUACAUGAAGCUGGAAUCGCUAGUAAUCGUAGAUCAGCAUGCUACGGUGAAUACGUUCCCGGGUCU
rnacentral:rRNA from 1 species